UACGUAGGGGGCAAGCGUUGUCCGGAAUUACUGGGCGUAAAGAGUGUGUAGGCGGUCUUGUAAGUUCUGUGUGAAAUCUCCCGGCUUAACUGGGAGGGUGCGCCGAAUACUGCAAGGCUUGAGUACUGGAGAGGAUAGCGGAAUUCCUGGUGUAGCGGUGAAAUGCGUAGAUAUCAGGAGGAACACCGGCGGUGUAGACGGCUGUCUGGACAGUAACUGACGCUGAAACACGAAAGCGUGGGGAGCAAACAGG
rnacentral:rRNA from 1 species